GAUGAACGCUGGCGGCGUGCCUAAUACAUGCAAGUCGAGCGAACAGACGAGGAGCUUGCUCCUCUGACGUUAGCGGCGGACGGGUGAGUAACACGUGGAUAACCUACCUAUAAUACUGGGAUAACUUCGGGAAACCGGAGCUAAUACCGGAUAAUAUAUUGAACCGCAUGGUUCAAUAGUGAAAGACGGCUUUGCUGUCACUUAUAGCUGGAUCCGCGCCGCAUUAGCUAGUUGGUAAGGUAACGGCCUACCAAGGCGACGAUGCGUAGCCGACCUGAGAGGGUGAUCGGCUACACUGGAACUGAGACACGGUCCAGACUCCUACGGGAGGCAGCAGUAGGGAAUCUUGCGCAAUGGGCGAAAGCCUGACGGAGCCACGCCGCGUGAGUGAUGAAGGUCUUCGGAUCGUAAAACUCUGUUAUUAGGGAAGAACAAAUGUGUAAGUAACUAUGCACGUCCUGACGGUACCUAAUCAGAAAGCAGCGGCUAACUACGUG
rnacentral:rRNA from 1 species